UGGGGAAUAUUGGACAAUGGGGGAAACCCUGAUCCAGCAAUGCCGCGUGUGUGAAGAAGGCCUUCGGGUUGUAAAGCACUUUCAGUGGGGAGGAAGGGGUGUUAGUUAAUACCUAACAUCAUUGACGUUACCUACAGAAGAAGCACCGGCUAACUCUGUGCCAGCAGCCGCGGUAAUACAGAGGGUGCAAGCGUUAAUCGGAAUUACUGGGCGUAAAGCGUGUGUAGGUGGUUGAAUAAGUUAGAUGUGAAAUCCCCGGGCUUAACCUGGGCACUGCGUUUAAGACUGUUUAACUAGAGUGCUGUAGAGGAUAGUGGAAUUUCCAGUGUAGCGGUGAGAUGCGUAGAUAUUGGAAGGAACACCAGUGGCGAAGGCGACUAUCUGGACAGACACUGACACU
rnacentral:rRNA from 1 species